GGGGGUGAUCGGUUUCGACGUCGUACGGCAUUUCAGGGGAAGCGGGUCGAGGAGGCAAGGUCAUCUCGUCAACGCUCCUUGCGAAACCAAUAGCUGCCAAUUCCAAGCGCAGCGACUUCGCCCUCGCCGCCUGAGCGAGCCACGAAGUCUGUCAGCCUGAGCUAGUUCUCGACUCAGUGUCUGGCAUCAGCUAGAGAACUUGCUCCGCCGUCAGGUCACCGGACGGCGGGGGACUCCUAACGUGACUGGGCCUGUCAGGGAACGUGUGCGCGCGAGCCCUGGGGCCGAGAAAAUCCGUAGCGCACUGCACCCGGAGAAGCCCUGAUCUACUUGCGACGGACGCGGGUUCGAUUCCCGCCACCUCCACGA
rnacentral:tmRNA from 1 species